AUCUUUCUAGUAACAAACAGUACAUGUGACUUCCAAUCACCCAGUCUUGGCUAAAAUCCAAGGAAAGAUA
rnacentral:tRNA from 2 species